ensembl:snoRNA
AUCCUUUUGUAAUUUAUAAAUGUAAUGAUUUGGUUUUUAUGCUCAUGUGUGAGAUGUGUCUCUCUCAAGUUAUGUUAUGAUGUCAGCACAUUACCCAUCUGAUA